GACGAACGCUGGCGGCGUGCUUAAUACAUGCAAGUCGAGCGCAGAAGGCUGGUACUUGUACCAACUGGAUGAGCAGCGCACGGGUGAGUAACGCGUGGGGAAUCUGCCUUUGAGCGGGGGACAACAUUUGGAAACGAAUGCUAAUACCGCAUAAAAACUUUAAACACAAGUUUUAAGUUUGAAAGAUGCAAUUGCAUCAUUCAAAGACGAUUCCGCGUUGUAUUAGCUAGGUGGUGAGGUAAAGGAGCAGCAAGGCGUUGAUACGUAGCCGAACUGAGAGGGUGAGCAGCCGCAUUGAGAGGGUGACACGGCACAAACUCAUACAGAUAGCGGCAGUAGGGAAACUUGAGCAAGAGGCGGAGAACAGAGCGAGCUGCGCCGCAUGAGGAAGGAGGGUCUUCGGGUCGUAGAACUCGGUUGGUAGGGAAGAACGUUGGUGAGAGUGGAAAGCACAGCGAGUGACGGUAACGGGCAAGAAAGCAACGGCUAACUACGUG
rnacentral:rRNA from 1 species